CAGAAGAAAGAGAAACUCUCAUCAAUCUGCUGAUCCUGGGGACAGACUUGACCACAGUGAGCAGCGUCUACCCAAUGAGUCUGAGGAAAACUGUGACCUUCACUAUGCCAGUGUCCACUUCAUGAAGAGUCAGACGGAUCCCAUCUACUCCCACGUCGGAUCAGCUGAACCCAGCAAACACAAGGAGGCGGAGGAGGUUGCGUACGCUUCUGUCAACUUUAACAGAUCUGCCCCGAGAACCAGAGGUCAGGACACUGGAGAGGAUCCAGCUGCAUUGUACAGCACAGUCAAAAAACCUCCUGCUGUUUAGACCAACGUCUGGAAAUCACCUUAGUCCCGAUGGAAAUAUCUCAACAGCUGCGGGAUGGAUUUGAAUAGAAGUUCAUACAACUGUUCAUGGUCCCCACAGGAUGAAUCCUACUUUGGUGACAGGCAGACUCCAGCAUCAUUGUUGAAGUGAAUGUUCAGUUUUAAGUGACUUGUCUUGACAGCUAAUGGAUAAAUUGCCCGAGGAUGAAUCCAAACGACUUCGCUGACUCGACUUUUAUCUGAAAUAUAUCAGCAACUUGUAGAAGUUGUUCAAAACGCCACAUUUAGCCUGAAUGAAAAAUAUCAAACAUUUUAUAACUUGCAGCUUCAAACAUGAAAUUAUCUGCGGUGUGUGUCAGACGGUCGACAAACUGUAAACUUGUAAUUAACUUUUUUCUAUUCAUAAAAUAAUCAAAAUAAGCAUUAUUAGUUAGUUGUAGUGUGACACUGCUGCCACUAGAUGGAAGUAAAGAGUUUUACUGAUAAAACCACAGAGAGGAUUCUGUCUCUUUCACUUCUUUCUGUUUCUACACUAUUGUUUCCAGCGUUUCCAUCAUCAGCCGAUCAGUAGUUGUACUCAUUUCCUCUGAGGACUGGAGGGACCACGUCUCAUGUGGAUGUGAGCUGCUACUUACGUGAUGAACACCUUUAUCACGUUAUCACGAUCAUUAAAGGUCUUUUUUUAUUCUGUUCAUAUAUUUUUAAUUUUACCUAAAAUGUGAAGCUCAUUUGUUCUAAUUUGCUUUUGAUUUGAAACUCUUACUAUAUUUUAAUCUCACUUACAGUAUUAAUGGCAGUUUAUUUUCCAGUUCAAUUUUAAAUCUUUCUUUAAUUUGUCUUUUUCAUGUCAAUCUUUAUUGCAUCUUAAUGAGACACUGAACAGAUGAGAUUAAAAACAGCCCAGUUUCUCUCAAGUCUC